rnacentral:tRNA from 1 species
GCUUUCGUGGUGUAGUGGUCAGCACGCUCGGCCCGUAUUCGGGAGGUCCACGGUUCGAGUCCCGGCCAAGGCG